GCCUUCGUGGUGUAAUGGUCAGCACACUGAGUCAGUAUUUCAGAGGUCCGCGGUUCGAUUCCCGGCGAAGGCG
rnacentral:tRNA from 1 species